CUCAGAAUUAUAAGCAUACUGAGGCAUCACUGAGUUCAAUCAAAAUGACUAAAAAGAGGUCUCCAACAAGUGACCAUCUUCCCUUCACUUAAAGCUCUUUAGUGAGACAGAACCUACUCUUUCCUCCAGGAAGAUCACUCCAUUUUGAGGGUCUUUGGAAUAAUCUAGAUGAAAGGCUGGCAAAAAGCACCUGAACUAAAGUGAUCAAUGUGUGAAAAUACAGAUGAGAAAAUUGGAAAAAAGGAUGGAGAAGAAAAGGAAGAAGAGCAGGAGGAAAAAAAGGAAGAGAAGAUACCCAAAUUAAACAUUGAGAACUGCUAGACCAUCUAAAGAAUAUUUCAAUAAAGAAUUUAAAAUAAUCA
rnacentral:lncRNA from 1 species